rnacentral:rRNA from 1 species
UACGGAAGAUGCGAGCGUUAUCCGGAUUUAUUGGGUUUAAAGGGAGCGUAGGCGGGCUGUUAAGUCAGCGGUCAAAUGUCAGGGCCCAACCUUGGCAUGCCGUUGAUACUGGCGGCCUUGAGUUCACACAAGGAAGGUGGAAUUCGUCGUGUAGCGGUGAAAUGCUUAGAUAUGACGAAGAACUCCGAUUGCGAAGGCAGCCUUCUGGGGUGUUACUGACGCUGAGGCUCGAAAGUGCGGGAAUCAAACAGG